AGGUGGCGCUGUAAGUUAGACGUGAAAGCUCUCGGCUCAACUGAGAGAGGUCGUUUAAAACUGCAGUGCUUGAGGUUAGAAGAGGAGAGCAGAGUUCCCGGUGUAGUGGUGGAAUGCGUAGAUAUCGGGAGGAAUACCAGUGGCGAAGGCGGCUCUCUAGUCUACACCUGACACUGAGGUGCGAAAGCGUGGGUAGCGAACGGGAUUAGAUACCCCGGUAGUCCACGCUGUAAACGAUGGAUACUAGGUGUAGGGGGUCAUUUAACCCCUCUGUGCCGAAGCAAACGCGUUAAGUAUCCCGCCUGGGGACUACGGCCGCAAGGUUAAAACUCAAAGGAAUUGNCGGGGGCCCGCACAAAAAACGGAGCGUGUGGUUUAAUUCGAUGAUACGCGAAGAACCUUACCUGGGCUGAACUACGUGGUAGUAGUGAAGCGAAAGCGGAUCGACCCUUCGGGGAGCCUCGAUAGGUGCUGCAUGGCUGUCGUCAGCUCGUGUCGUGAGAUGUUGGGUUAAGUCCCGCAACGAGCGCAACCCUCGUCGCUAGUUACAAGUGUCUAGCGAGACUGCCGGUAUCAAACCGGAGGAAGGUGGGGAUGACGUCAAGUCAGCAUGGUCUUUAUGUCCAGGGCUACACACACGCUNCAAUGGUCGGUACAAUAGUUUAAGGGCNCCNCGAGGUGGAGCUNNUCCUCAAANCCGAUCUUUUGAAUGANUUGUAGUCUGCAACUCGACUACAUGAAGGCGGAGU
rnacentral:rRNA from 1 species